rnacentral:lncRNA from 1 species
CCCCCUAUUUGUAUUCAAGAUCUUCCAAAAUUCCUUUGCGUUGCUGUUUUUUAAUGUGUUCAUCUUCUGUCUGAUUUCUUUUUUAUGUUUUUUUUAUGGAUCUAUCUAGUUGUCUCUUAUAAUCUCUCUCUGAUUUUUCAUUUGUUUUCGAUUAUUUUCCGUCUUAAUGGAUUUAUACCUUCUUUUGCGAUACGGAAACAUUUUCUUGUUUUCCAGCAUUCUUUGUUAAACCAUGGCUUGAGUACCUUUUUAUUGUAGUGUUUGUUUCCCCCCUUGUAAUGAGAUCCCAAAACUUUUUCUGCUGAUUCUAGAAUAAUAGCGUUCACCUGUUCAACGACUUUAUUUAUGUUUUCUUUAGCUAGUAUGCUAGUUUCUAGCAUGUUCAACUCUGAUUCUAAUUCCCUUAACUUAUUUCUGUCAAUGCUCUCAACGAAUUCGUUUUCUUUUUCAGUAUCCCAUUUAUUUAUCUUUUUUACAUUUUGAUCAGCGCAUGUUUCUACGUAUAUAUUUUUUAUCUAUAGCUCAAGUUUGUUUAAAUAACAUAGUCAACGAUAAAGGCGAGUGAACAUCAGAGUAUAAUGACGAAAAAUCAUGAACAAGCAUUUCAUUAAUACAGUAUAACAAUGAAUGUGUACAAAUAAAAUAAUCGACA